rnacentral:rRNA from 1 species
CCGUACUCUGGGAUACUUGGACGUCUGCUCCGCACACUUACCGCCGGCUAACUCUGUGCCAGCAGCCGCGGUAAUACAGAGGGUGCGAGCGUUAAUCGGAUUUACUGGGCGUAAAGCGUGCGUAGGCGGCUUUUUAAGUCGGAUGUGAAAUCCCCGAGCUUAACUUGGGAAUUGCAUUCGAUACUGGGAAGCUAGAGUAUGGGAGAGGAUGGUAGAAUUCCAGGUGUAGCGGUGAAAUGCGUAGAGAUCUGGAGGAAUACCGAUGGCGAAGGCAGCCAUCUGGCCUAAUACUGACGCUGAGGUACGAAAGCAUGGGGAGCAAACAGGAUUAGAUACCCUGGUAGUCCAUGCCGUAAACGAUGUCUACUAGCCGUUGGGGCCUUUGAGGCUUUAAUGGCGCAGCUAACGCGAUAAGUAGACCGCCUGGGGAGUACGGUCGCAAGACUAAAACUCAAAUGAAUUGACGGGGGCCCGCACAAGCGGUGGAGCA